UCCAGGCCUAGGCCAAGUGAUUGGUGA
rnacentral:piRNA from 1 species